rnacentral:lncRNA from 1 species
GCUGCUCCCAGGAGAUUCGUUUUCAGAGGAUCUGAGAAAAACCCGGCAGGGUUGAUGGCAGCUCUUUCUUCUCGGUGCCCUCGCAGUGCAGCAGGCCCCGCUUAUUUGCAAGAAGCAGCCAGGUCAGCCCACUGGGCCUCCCCACCUCUUGUGCCCCUUCGCACAUUUCAGAGCUCUCUCUUUUCCUCUGGGUCCUUCCAUUCAAGAGAGGAGGAGGAGGAGGGGGUGAGCCUGUUGCGAACGGCGUUGGUGGGGCAGGGGCCGGUUCCCCUGUUUCUGGGGAGCCUUUUCUGUGCUGGUUGCAGGCAGGGGCCCUCAGUGUGGAGCUGUGGUGAGCCUGUGCCCCGUCGUAUUUGGGUCACAGCCUCCGUGACCCCUAGCCCCCGCCAGGCACUCCACCCCUGCAGUGAUUCGCUUGAUAUUUUAAAAGCACUCCAUCUUCUGCCUGCUGCCUUCUCUCCAUUCAUCUGGGUCCAGGUUUUCGCCGAGCCAUCUAAUAAAGAAUCCAGGGGGGAGAAUGAUGGGGGCGAGGAGAGGGAAAGUGCUAACAUUUAUUAAGUGCCCGCUGGGUGCCCAGCACUUCCUCAACAACUAGAGCAGCGGUCUUUCUGCUUUCUUUCAGCUGCAUAACCCUUUCCUCCAUCCAAAAUCGCAAGCCUAACCUGGCCGUGUAAACAAACACCAGGGAAGCGCCUCUGAUGGAAGGGGAUGGG